rnacentral:rRNA from 1 species
CUUUACUGACGCUAAAGCUCGAAGGUGCGGGUAUCGAAUAGGAUUAGAUACCCUGGUAGUCCGCACGGUAAACGAUGGAUGCCCGCUGUUUGCGAUAUACUGUGAGCGGCCAAGAGAAAUCGUUAAGCAUCCCACCUGGGGAGUACGCCGGCAACGGUGAAACUCAAAGGAAUUGACGGGGGCCCGCACAAGCGGAGGAACAUGUGGUUUAAUUCGAUGAUACGCGAGGAACCUUACCCGGGCUUGAACUGCAGCGGAAGGAUACAGAGAUGUUGACGCCCUUCGGGGCCGCUGUGGAGGUGCUGCAUGGUUGUCGUCAGCUCGUGCCGUGAGGUGUCGGCUUAAGUGCCAUAACGAGCGCAACCCUUUUCAUUAGUUGCCAUCAGGUCAUGCUGGGCACUCUGAUGAUACUGCCACCGUAAGGUGUGAGGAAGGUGGGGAUGACGUCAAAUCAGCACGGCCCUUACGUCCGGGGCUACACACGUGUUACAAUGGGUGGUACAGAGAGUCGGUCGUCUGCAAAUGCGAUCCAAUCCUUAAAGCCAUCCUCAGUUCGGAUUGGGGUCUGCAACCCGACCCCAUGAAGCUGGAUUCGCUAGUA